CCUCUCCCUUCCUUCUUCCCAAACCCAAAAUUCAUCUUCUCCUCUACCAUGCAAAUUCCAGAACUUUCUGCUCUCUCUUUCCCUCUCUCUAUUGCCAAAAACAGAAAGGCAGGAGACAGGAGAAUUCAUUGCAAAGACAAAAAAUGGCCAAUGGUCUCUACUCUCUAGAACUUUCAGUUAUGAACCCAUCCAUUUUCAACCUAAGCUUCAUCAUUUGUGACCAGCAAAGCUGUAAAGUCUAAACAACCUUUCCAAAAGAACAAGUUCUUGGGGAAGAAGGAUUUUCAGAUUCCAUUUUCCUUCUUUUGCAUUCACUUGUUUGUAAGACUGAAAUCCAUUUGCCGUACGCUCAACUUCUCCCUUUCCUAAUUCCCCUCCAUUUUUUUCCUCACUUGAUCUCUUUUGCAAAUUUUUCAUCUUUUCCUUUCUCUGUGUAGUCUAAUCUAACUUUUUCUUCCCCUUUUGUAAUUAAUUAUUCUGUUUUUAUUUCCACCAUUACUCAGUUUUUCUUCAGGUUCCACUCUGUAAGGAUCUUCUCUAAAUUUUCCCAGCUUCCAUAAAAACCUGAGUUUUUUUAUUUCUCUUUAUCCAGUUGGUUGAAGCAAUUACUCAUUUAGCUGCAUUUUCUUGUUACUCCUGCACACUCAUUAUAGAUCCAUUUCUCUGAUUCUAUCAUCAGAUUGAAUUCUUCAACCAAAUACUAAAAAAGAAGAAGAGCAAAACCAAAUUAAGGUACGAGUUAUUUUGAUAGUUCCAACUUCCAACCAUGAAUCCUAUAAGCCCAGUCAAGGAAGAGUUUCCAGAAGCCACUCCAUCCUACUCCAGUGAUCCGCCCAUGGCUCCUCCACAGCCAAUGGAGGGCCUCCAUGAGUUAGGCCCUCCACCUUUCCUGACGAAAACCUUCGACAUGGUGGACGAUCCAAGCACCGAGGGCAUAGUUUCUUGGAGCAGAGACGGCAACACUUUUAUUGUCUGGGAUUCUCAUACUUUCUCCAUGAGUCUCCUCCCUAGAUACUUCAAGCACAACAACUUCUCAAGCUUUGUUAGGCAGCUCAACACUUACGGAUUUAGGAAAGUUGAUCCAGAUAAAUGGGAAUUUGCAAAUGAAGGAUUUCUCAGAGGGCAGAAGCAUCUCCUGAAGAACAUCAAGAGGAGGAAAGCACCUCCACACCCUUCAUCUCUGCAGCAAUUUCCAGGAGGCCCUUGUGUCGAAGUAGGACGAUUUGGAUUAGAUGGAGAAAUCGAUCGAUUGAGGCGUGACAAGCAGGUUCUACUGUUAGAACUAGUGAAGCUGAGACAGCAACAGCAGCAUACUCGUGCCCAACUUCAAGCUAUGGAAAGCAGGAUACAAAGAACAGAGCUAAAGCAGCAACAGAUGAUGACAUUCUUAGCUAGAGCACUACAGAACCCAUCUUUUAUCCAGCAACUGAUCCAACAGAAAGAGAGGAGAAGGGAACUAGAAGAAGCGGUUACCAAGAAAAGGAGAAGGCGAAUUGAUCAAGGCCCCAGCGAUGUUGGAGUUGCUGAUCAUGAGGCAAUUCAAAGUGGUGAAGAAGAAAACCCCAUUAAAGCCGAACAAAAAGAAUAUGGGGAGCUGUAUGGGUACGAAGGGUCGGAGCUGGAGAUAAUUGCAUUAGAGAUGCGGGGAUUUAAUAAAGCUGGAGAGGAGCCUGAAGAAGAGGAGGAUGCAGAGCGAGAACAAGAAUUUGAGAAUGGAAGCAAAUCACUUGAUGAUGGAUUUUGGGAAGAAUUGUUUAGUGAAAGUCUUUUGAACAAACAAGGGCGCAUUAGGUCGAGAGAAGAGAGAAUGGAGAUGUGAAUGUCCUCGCCAAUCGACUCGGUUACUUGGGUUCCAGCCCAAAGUAGGGAAGCUGAAAUGUCUGAUCUGAUAACAAUUGGUUCUUGGAUUCGAUUUUAUUGCUUCCAUGAUCAAAGCCUUCUGGAGAAAACCACGACAGGGAUUGACUUCAAGCAGAUUGCAGGGAUAUUGGCUCAUUGCUUGGGAACCAGAAAGAUUUUUUCGCACCAUCCUGAUUUGCCACAAAGGUUGUCCCAUGUUUUUCUCCAUUCCUAUUUUUCAUGCAAUCUGAUUGCUUCGAUAUCCAUACUGUUAAUCAUGGUUUCAAAACCGGACCGGACCGGAAAAAACAAAACCGGUCAUGUGACUGGUUUCAGUUUUCCCCAAAACCGGAAGUUGCCAAAAACAUUGAUUUGAUCUGCAAAUCGCUGAUUUGGGUGAUUGAGCCAUUUGAACCGUUUAAUGAUUUUGACCAUUUUUUUUCUUUAUUUUUUGUUAGA